rnacentral:lncRNA from 10 species
CAUUUAGUUCCAUGGUUUUAGUCACUGCGGAAACUGGAAUCCAGAGGUUAAAUGCUUUUUCUAACAUCAACAUUAAAAAAGAUGAGAGACGUUAAGCUCCAAACUCAGAAUAAGAAUCUAUAAGAAAUAUGCGUCAAUGCAGAAGCUGUUCAAAAAUGAGUAAGAUUUUUUCCUUGAGCCAAGAAAGAAAUGCGGAAGUCUUGACAAACAAGAGAAGAGACUGCCUUAGGGAAAGGGACUACAGUGAACACUCAGAACUUCUUCCUGUGCUAAGACAAUCUUUAAAAGUAAACAUAAGAAGACAAAAGGUGGAGACCUAUUCUGUUGGGUUAGAGAUGACAGAAAAUCUUAUUUGUUGGUUGGUUGGUUUGUUCAAGAAUACACUGACCGUCUACAAGAAAGGACAUCUGGAAAUGCAUAAACUGUUGCCUAAGGACACAGGGUAUGUGGCUGGUGACCUCAACAGGCCCCACGACUCGGGCACUGAGACCCAAGCUGGUCCCUCAGGUAUGGUUAGCCCUUGA